GACGAACGCUGGCGGCGUGCUUAACACAUGCAAGUCGAGCGGAGCGGCGAGCGGGUGAGUAACGCGGGAGUAACUGCCCCCCUCUCUGGGGUAACAGAUGGAAACGGCUGCUAAUACCGGAUAGUGGGGGAUGACUCGCGUCAUAUCAGCUUGUUGGAGGGGUAGUGGCCGACCAAGGCGACGACGUGUAGCCGGCCUGAGAGGGCGGGCGGCCACAUUGGGCUGAGAUACGGCCCAAACUCCUACGGGAGGCAGCAGUGGGGAAUAUUGCACAAUGGGGGAAACCCUGAUGCAGCAACGCGCGUGCGGGAUGACGGCCUUCGGGUUGUAAACCGCUUUCAGCCAUGACGCGGUAGUGGCAGAAGAAGCACCGGCUAACUACGUGCCAGCAGCCGCGGUAAUAC
rnacentral:rRNA from 1 species